UUUCACAGGGUUGGGCAGUUUUGGGGACCAGUUAAUGGAUGAACCACCGCCGAACCGGAGCGAAGCGAAGCCGUUAGCGGCGGCGCCACCCUUUCAUCAGAGUGACGCAGACGAGGAUGACGAGAACGUGAAGCAGCUCGACGAGUGCUCUUCUCUCUAUCUCUUGAUGCAGGAUUGCGUUGUUCGAACAAACAGGAAUUGGAAAGAAUGCCAGACAGAAGUGCAAGCUUUGAGAGAGUGUUUUGAAAAGAGAAAGAGAAAGAAAGACAAGUAAGAAUUUUGCAGGGAUGGGAUUUUUAGUUGGCUGAGGUCAUCUACUGUGCUUCCUAGUUAUUCUUUAUGGUAGCACAAUGAGACAUGAAGAGAGACGAGUGUAAAUAUCAAACUUUCUCACGGAGGAUAUGUUAGAUGAAUAAGAAAUUCUUCGUGUAGAUUACAUGUAUUCAAGAAUAUCUGCGGACGAAGACAAACACCUUAAAUAUAAUUCUCCCGUGGCAACAUCAUGGUAUGGCGAAAGAAAGCUUGGAGCAUGACCGAUUGAGUUAAAGUCAUCGAGAGUGGGGGUUACUAUUGCCACGCAAUCAUAUUGUCUGUAUUAUUAAGACUAAUUCCAAGUGGUGGUAUAACAUCAAGAUCUCCCAUUAUUCAGAAAUACUAUUUGCUCAA